rnacentral:siRNA from 1 species
CGAUAUUAAUACAAGAUGGUAUAC